GGGCCCAGGCCGUGUGCGCUUCGGCCGCCGAGCCUUGCUGCCUGUGCUCCGGUGGGCGUUGGGGCUUCCCUGGGUAGGGAGCAGAGGAGGUAAGAGAGAGUGGGAACUCCAGGCCUGGGAGGUGUGGGGUCUUCCUCUCAGCCCUCGACUGGGGUUAUACACUUAGGUUUGCUCUCCUCGAGCGCGCCGCCCCUGCUCCUUAUGUCUGGAGAUAAAAAUCCAAGUUACUGUGCUGGCCAAGGCCAAGUGCAGGGAGCCUGCCUCCUCUUGGAUGGCAGUAACGUUCCAGGCUGUGGCAGGGAUUGAAGGGUCGUGGGGAACACCACUGUCACCUACCCCAGCCCCGGUGAGCACCUGGCCCCCAAGAUGAGCAAAGAGCAAGAGAAACGGCACCAGGACGAAGGGAAUCUGGUUUCUUGCUCCUACAUUGUGCUGUGGCCAAGACAUCCCCACUUGCCUGCUUCUGCCCAGUCAUUAACCCACGUGAGUGGAUGAGCAAGUCUGCUAAGGGCACGGCUCUCUGACUCAAGUACCAGGUUUCUGGGCAUGUGGAGCUUGAAGUCAGUCUAGUGACAGGUGAAAGACCCAUGUGAAAAAGCCAACAAGAAGAGAGUGUUUUCCAAUAUUGGGUAAAUGCUGAAUCCACAUACAGCCUGCACUAGUGUGGUCAGAGGAGUUAUUUUGGAUUGGAUCCUGGAAGGCCCAUUAAGGAGGUGGCAUUAUGAGGUCACAGCCAGAUGGCAAGCUGGUGGUAACUAUGUACAUGUAAACGUCCAGUGGAGCUGUCUUGGGCAGAGUGCACACAGACCUGGGAGGAGAUUUCUGUUUUGAUGGGAGCCAUACCGUGUCAAAUAUUUGUGUUUGAAGAUAAAGUGCAGGGGCUCUUUUCAUGCCUUUCAUAAAGGACGAAGUAAACUCAGUAUCACAUUCAUAACUCUGAUCCAAUUAAAUCCAGUGAUAGAGAACUGCCAGUCUGGGAAAUUGAUUUCAAUGGUUUUAUAAUCCAAUGGAGAGUGUUGCUCUGAUUUCUAAUAGGGGGUCUUGAAAUGUCAUGAACGAGAGGGCACAUAGCAGAUGUCACUGAGGGAUGAGUAACCACAGCAUCAAGUAGCACAG
rnacentral:lncRNA from 1 species